CACUCUACCUACAUGAUGGGCCACUCCCAAUCAACCAAGCUAGGCCAGGCUUGCUGUAGAGAAGAAAUUAAGGAAUGACUUACUUAAUCUGGGAAAAAGCAAGGACCAAGAUAGAACUGCAAGACGGGAUGCUGAGAAGCCCAGCAGUAUGGUUAGUGAAUGAAGCAGAAAGGCAGGACUCAGAAGACUUCUCCUGCUAAACCAGAUACAAUGUCCUGCUACUCUGAGACCUCAAUGCUAUGAGAAACCUCAAGCCAGACGUGGGUCACAUGAAGGAACAUGUGGAUGUGAACCUUCUGUCACAGCCCAACCCAGCCAGCAGCUGAGAGUAGAGAAAUGAGCAACCUCUUUUGUUGCUAUAGGGAGAAGAAUCACCCAGCCAAACACUGCCCAAUUAUAAAAUUAUGAGAAG
ensembl:lncRNA